AUACUUAACCUGGCAGGGAAGAUACCAUUAUCACAAAGGUGAUUUUCUCAGGGCAAGGCUUAUCUAUUGCACUUUGAAUGUGCUUACCCCUGUAAUUUCUCCAAAUGUGGGAAACUCGACUGCAUAAUUUGUGAGAGUGGGGAACUGUGUUAGCACUUUCCCGUG
rfam:Otolemur garnettii contig096325, whole genome shotgun sequence.